rnacentral:lncRNA from 1 species
CCCUGGUGGAUAUGCAGUACAGUUACAAAUGCAGAAAGUGUCUGAGCAGAGCUCCUGCAUGGAAAAGAAGUGUCAAGCAGAGAUGUGAGAGUGACAGAUGGAGAAGUAUUCAGUGACUCUUGGAAGCCUUUAAGAGACAACAGAUGCCUCCUAACUGUAGAUGAAUUUCUCAGAGGUGCAGAACAAAAGGACAAAAGAGAACAAGGAGCCAGCCCUGCUUUAUCAAGGUACUGAUGCAAACUGGAGCUGCAAAGGCAGAGCAGGCUGUGCUUGGGACGCCUGCAAACAUAAAAGAAGAUGCAGAGAAGGAA